rnacentral:misc_RNA from 1 species
UGGUUCUGGCAACGAUGAAGAACGCAGCGAAAUGCGAUAAGUAAUGUGAAUUGCAGAAUUCAGUGAAUCAUCGAAUCUUUGAACGCACAUUGCGCCCCUUGGUAUUCCGGGGGGCACACCUGUUCGAGCGCCAUUUUCACCAUCGAGCCCUGCUCGGAGAUGGGCUUCGUCCUCGCGGACGGGCCCGAAACCCGUGGGCGCCUUCGUCCGGCCCUGAGCGUAUCAAGAGAAAUCCCUCGCUCGGUGGACUGUAUGGCGGCCGCCCCGACCAUUUUUAACAAGAUUGGCCUCGGAUCAGGUGGGGAUACCCGCUGA